rnacentral:rRNA from 1 species
AUGGAAGUGAGAAGGAACACUAACUGUGGUGUUUACUCAUUUCGUACUAGAGGUGGAUAUUGCAGCGUAGUUGAUGGAGUCACUGCUACAAGGGACGAUGGUUCAGGUAGAGGUAAAGGAUGUGGUAGUGGUACUGCAAAAUCAUGGCAGCGAGAAGGGGAUUGGCUGUGUCCAAAUACAAGAUGUCAGAAUGUAAAUUUUGCAUUCCGAGGUGUCUGUAAUCGCUGUCGGGUAGCACGCCCUGCUGAUGUUAGUGCAAUGGGGACAACUAAAAAUGGUGAAAAAUCUCAGACUCUUACUGUCCAAAUGACUACCGAUGAGUUGAAGAAGUGGCUUCAGUUCAAGGAAGGAACCAUUGAUGAAAGGUCAACAACCAAGAUAUUUGCUACAUCUGCUAACCCCUGUGGUGAUACUUCGAAAUUUGUGAAAGGAAGUUAUUUUGAGGCUGGUACACAGUGGUUAAUAGACUCUGGUGCGUCUAAACAUAUGGCCGGUUCGUAUAAGGAUUUCUGCAGUUAUACUCCUGAUUUUACAGGGCAAAAUGUUAGACUUGCUGAUGGUUCUGGCCAGAGUAUUAGGGGGGUAGGAACAGUUAAAUGUUGCCCAGAUAUGACUCUAUCAUCUGUUUUACAUGUUCCCUCAUUCCCAAUCAAUUUGCUAUCCAUCAGCUGCAUUACAAGAGAACUCAAUUGUGCUGUAAUCUUCUUCCCAACAUGGUGUUUAUUUCUGGAACUUGGGACAGGAAAAAAGCUUGGAUCAGGAAUUAUGCGAGAUGGUCUAUACUAUCUAGAUGAUGAUAUGGCACCUGAUAUGGCACCUGUGGCUGCUAUUGUUCUGUCUCAGUCAUCAUUGCAAGAAUUUCUUCUUCAUCAUCGCAGGCUGGGACACAUGUCCUUUAACACCCUGGGUCAGUUGUAUCCUAACCUAUAUAAUAAAAUUUGCAAGGAAAGUCUAGUAUGUGACGCCUGCCAGUACGGGAAGCUAACCCGUAGUAUAUAUAUUUCAUCUGAUCACAGAAGUACAGUGCCAUUUCAAACUAUCCACUCAGAUGUAUGGGGUCCUAGUGGGGUGUGGUCACUUUAUGGAUACAAAUCAUUUGUUACAUUCAUCGACUGUUGCACUAGGACUACUUGGGUUUAUGUAUUGAGAAAUAAAAAUGAUGUGUUUGAAUGCUUUAGGGAUUUCCACAACCUAAUCAUAAAUCAAUAUGAUGCACGGGUGAAAAUAUUCCGAACUGACAAUGGUACAGAAUAUGUAAAUAACCAAUUUGAUGAGUACCUGUCAAGCUUUGGAAUUAUCCAUCAAACUAGUUGCCCAGGCACCUCCCAGCAAAAUGGUCUGGCGGAGAGGAAGAAUAGACAUCUUUUGGAAAUCACACGGUGUAUAAUGUUGGCUAUGAAUGUACCUAAAUAUUUGUGGAGUGAGGCUGUGAUGACAGCUGCAUAUUUAAUGAAUAGAAUGCCAUCUCGGGUGCUUAACAACAAGACACCAAUCGAGUGUUUAACGGGUAAGACUACAUAUGUGGUGCCACCAAAGGUGUUUGGAUGUGUUUGCUUUGUGAGGGAUCAUAGACCAUCAGUUGGGAAGCUUGACCCUAGAGCAGUGAAAUGUAUAUUUGUGGGAUACUCUGGAAAACAGAAGGGUUAUAAAUGUUGGUGCCCAUCUGAAAAGCGGAUGUUUGUGAGCAUGGAUGUAGUGUUCAGGGAGCAUGAACCUUUCUAUGGGGAACCAGUAGAUUUAACUGAUGUCUUUCCUGAUUUAUAUGUUAAUGAUGCUACAGAUCUGGACAACGAGACAGGAGAAGAUAAAGGUGAAGAAUAUAAUGAAGCAGCAUCCAGGAAUAUGAUUGUUGGAGUGAUUCCAGCUGCAGAUAUGUAUAACGGUGAAGAUGAAGGUACAUCAGGAGCUGAACAGGAACAGACGCAGGGGGAGCUACGAGAUGAAUCAAAUGAAGCUGUUAAGUGGCCAAAACCAAAUGAAGAACAAGAAGUUCAGGUGUAUAAAAGGAGACACCGAUCUGAGAAGGAAGUUAUCCCAUCUAGGUGUGAUCAUGAAGCUCAAGAAACUCCUGCAGUACAAACACAAGAAACCUUGCCAAGUGUGACACAAUCAGAUGUGCAUGAGUCAUCUCCACAAGUCGAUGCUAUAGAUAUGAGGGCCCUAAUGGUGUUCAUUUUCGCCACUGGUGCGAAGGUCUCAUCAUAG